UUGACCUGAGGCCAUUUUAGUAUCUCUCAGUAUUCCUCAGUGCCUUGGGUGAUAAGAGUUGCAGACCAUGGGUCACAUCAGUUUGACUUCAAACAAGGGCCAAAAGACCAAUUUGCCUGAGAAUGUAAGCUUUCAAUGUCCAACAUUCAAUGAAGGAAUAAAUGAAUGGAGGAAAAAUUGUAAUGGCAGCACGUAAAAGGAAGAUGUAAUCCCUCAGAAAAGGCUCCUGGAGGAAAAGAUAAGUAACAGGAGACUUGAAGGAGAAAGGAGAAACUGAGACACAAAGAAGUUAAAUAACUUACUCAAGGCCAUAUUAGAAGUGGCAGAGCCAGAAUCCAAAUCCAGGCAGCUCAUCUGCACGGCCUAUUUUCUUAAUCCCAUCACCCUGCUGACUCUUGUUGAUGGACAAAGAUGAUCAGAUUUGAACUCUAAAGGGAAUCCAUAGGAAGAUCUGAUUGACAUAGAGCCCUGUCUCCAGACUGCCAGAGAAAGCAGAUUUGGAUGUGCACCAGAGAUUUGGAGGACAUGGAGGAGAUAUGUGGAGAAGAGACAUGUGGAAGAGAAACAUAUGGCAGAUGGCAGAACCUAUUUAAACCAUACAAGAUUUGUCACCAUGACGGAUGCCCAU